rnacentral:lncRNA from 1 species
UCACAGAUGGCAUGAUUGUCUAUUAAGGAAAUCCCAAAGAAUCAACAACAACAAGAACAAAAACUUUUGGAACUAAUAAGUGGAUAUAACAAGGUUGCAGGAUAAAAGUGUGUACUCCUUCUACCUAUAUAAGAAAAGCAAACUGCAAAGACAGCCUAAAGCAUGUCCUUCGGGAAGUACUCAAAAAGAAGGCCCUGUUAUCAUAGGAGAUGACAGCUCCAUGCAUGUUAUUGGUCCUAGAGGCCUUCAGUGGGACAAGAUGUGGAGGUGGAAGAGAGUGAUAUUGAUCAUCCUGACCCUGUAUAGGCUUAAGCUAAGUUUUUCGCUGUCUUCCCACCUACUGGUUAUGUCUGAUUCAGUUCCAGCGACCUUGAAGUUGGAAGGAAAGCCUCUGCCCUUCAGACUUCUUCAUCCCUGAGUUGAGUUUCAUGGAAAAGCAGCCUCUGGGAGUAACAAGUACAGAUGCAGUUUCACCAUGUUAGCCAGGAUGGUCUUGAUCUCCUGACCUUGUGAUCCACCUGCCUCGGCCUCCCAGAGUUCUGAGAUGACAAGUGUGAGCCACUGCACCUGGCCAAUAAUUUUAUUUUUAAACAUGUAAGAUUCUAUCUCUGAAUAAUUAGUUAAACCUACUUAUCUAUCUAUCUCUACCCAACCUUCUACUGUGUGUAUUCACAGAGAGAUUUACAGAGCAAGGGUCACCACCUCAGUUGACAACAACAGUUAUUUCAGUGGUAGAUUUUUAGGUGUGUUUCCUUUUUGCUAUGGUUUGAAUAUGGUUUGUCUGACCUCACCAAAGCUCAUGUUGAAAUGUCAUCCCUAAUGUGGUGGUGUCGGGGGUGAGGCCUAGUGGGAGAUGUUCGGGUCUUGGGGGCAUAUCCCUCCUGAAUGGCUUGUGAGUGAGUUCUUGCUCUGGUGAAACUGGAUUAGUUCCCUCAGAAAUGGAUUGGUUUCUAUGAGAGUGGGUUGUUGCAAAACCAGGAUUCCUCUUGGGUUUCGUCUGUUUGCGUUUUCCAUUUCCACUCUGACCUUCUCCACCAUGUUAUGACAAGUACAAAAGCUCUUGCCAGAAGCCAGGGCCAUGCCCUUGAAUUUCCCACCCCGUAGAACCAUAAGCUAAAUAAAC